rnacentral:rRNA from 1 species
CCUACGGGAGGCAGCAGUGAGGAAUAUUGGUCAAUGGGCGCGAGCCUGAACCAGCCAAGUAGCGUGAAGGAUGACGGCCCUACGGGUUGUAAACCUCUUUUGUACGGGAAUAAAGUGCGCCACGUGUGCCGUUUUGUAGGUACCGUAUGAAUAAGGAUCGGCUAACUCCGUGCCAGCAGCCGCGGUAAUACGGAGGAUCCGAGCGUUAUCCGGAUUUAUUGGGUUUAAAGGGAGCGUAGGGGGGCGUUUAAGUCAGCGGUAAAAGUGGGGGGCUCAACCUCUACAUGCAGUUGAUACUGGCUGCCUUGAGUGCAGGAGAGGUAGGCGGAAUUCGUGGUGUAGCGGUGAAAUGCAUAGAUAUCACGAAGAACUCCGAUUGCGAAGGCAGCCUACUG